CAUGCUAGUCGCACGAGUUCAGACUCGUGGCGAAUAGCUCAGUAACACGUGGCCAAACUACCCUUCGGAGCUCCAUACCCUCGGGAAACUGAGGCUAAUAGAGCAUACCACAAUCCAGCUGGAAUGAGGAUUGUGUCAAACGCUCCGGCGCCGAAGGAUGUGGCUGCGGCCGAUUAGGUAGACGGUGGGGUAACGGCCCACCGUGCCAAUAAUCGGUACGGGUCAUGAGAGUGAGAACCCGGAGACGGAAUCUGAGACAAGAUUCCGGGCCCUACGGGGCGCAGCAGGCGCGAAACCUUUACACUGCACGCCAGUGCGAUAAGGGGAUCCCAAGUGCGCAGGCAUAGAGCCUGCGCUUUUGUACACCGUAGGGAGGUGUACGAAUAAGGGCUGGGCAAGACCGGUGCCAGCCGCCGCGGUAAUACCGGCAGCCCGAGUGAUGGCCGAUUUUAUUGGGCCUAAAGCGUCCGUAGCUGGCCGCGCAAGUCCAUCGGAAAAUCCACCCGCCCAACGGGUGGGCGUCCGGUGGAAACUGCGUGGCUUGGGACCGGAAGGCGCGACGGGUACGUCCGGGGUAGGAGUGAAAUCCCGUAAUCCUGGACGGACCGCCGAUGGCGAAAGCACGUCGCGAGGACGGAUCCGACAGUGAGGGACGAAAGCCAGGGUCUCGAACCGGAUUAGAUACCCGGGUAGUCCUGGCCGUAAACAAUGUCUGUUAGGUGUGGCUCCCACUACGAGUGGGUGCUGUGCCGUAGGGAAGCCGCUAAACAGACCGCCUGGGAAGUACGUCCGCAAGGAUGAAACUUAAAGGAAUUGGCGGGGGAGCACUACAACCGGAGGAGCCUGCGGUUUAAUUGGACUCAACGCCGGACAUCUCACCAGCAUCGACUGUAGUAAUGACGAUCAGGUUGAUGACC
rnacentral:rRNA from 1 species